rfam:Triticum aestivum genome assembly, contig: Triticum_aestivum_CS42_TGACv1_scaffold_194769_3AL
GUAGUAUUCCCUCCGUCCGAAAUUCUUGUCUUACAUUUGUUUAGAUACGGAUGUAUCUAACACUAAAAUGUAACUAGAUACAUCCGUAUUUAGACAAAUUCAAGACAAGAAUUUUUGGACGGAGGGAGUACAAA